ACUUUCAACCGAAAACGUGUGCUGAGGCUCUUAGGGGUGCGGGGUAACUCCCCAACAAUGCGUGGUCCUGGCCGGCCCUGCCGCGGCGGCGGAGACCUCCUAAUCUGUCUCUGCGCGCGGUGCACUGCUGGCGACUUGGGUUCAGGGGCAGCGGGGAGGUACCUUGACCUGGGGUCCCCGAGACCCUGAGCAAGUCCCGCUUCGCUACAUCUCACAGUGACCCCCCUCAAGGCAAGGCUUCAACCCCAAAGGCAGCGCCCGGGAACCGUACUGCCUAGAACACCUCUUCAAUCGCAGGGGCUUCUCUGGGGUGAUGGGACCCAAGCCGGAUCCGGGGCUCCAGCCGCUCACGUCCCGUGCGCUGCCCUCCCAGGAGAGACCGGCUGCCUAACUUUCCCGGCCGAGACCUUUCUGCCUUUCCGGGCGAGUGGGCGUCGGCAUCACUUUCCACUAGCCAAGGAACUUGUCCGGAGAAGUCGACCGCGGGGCAAGUGGCCCAGAGGGCGCGCAGGGGAGGCCAGCCUUCCUGCCUGGACUGUCCUCAGCGGAGCACAUGCCUUCUACCCGGCCUGCCCUUCCUCGGUGGCCAGCAGCCUAUCCGAAGAUGAAACGCUGUGUCUGCUUGGCAGACCUGCCCCUCCCAGGCUGACCCCACUGGGAUCCCCUGGAGUGACUGCGGGAGGGGCCCAAUAAAGCUUUGUGCAAUGCG